AUUGAACGCUGGCGGCAGGCCUAACACAUGCAAGUCGAACGAGUGGCGGACGGGUGAGUAAUGUCUGGGAAACUGCCCGAUGGAGGGGGAUAACUACUGGAAACGGUAGCUAAUACCGCAUACCAUCGGAUGUGCCCAGAUGGGAUUAGCUAGUAGGUGCGGUAACGGAUUACCUAGUCGACGAUCCCUAGCUGGUCUGAGAGGAUGACCAGCCACAAUGGGACUGAGACACGGUCCGGACUCCCAAGUGAGGCAGCAGUGGGGAAUAUUGCACAAUGGGCGAAAGCCUGAUGCAGCCAUGCCGCGUGUAUGAAGAAGGCCUUCGGGUUGUAAAGUACUUUCAGCGAGGAGGCGUUACUCGCAGAAGAAGCACCGGCUAACUCCGUGCCAGCCGCCGCGGUAAUUC
rnacentral:rRNA from 1 species